UUGACAAGUAGUCCUCAUGGCAGUGGUGAUGAUGCUGAACACUGUGCCUCCCUGCUGAAGAGGUCACAUCCACAGUGACCCCUGCUUCCAGCCUUUGCCUCUCUUCACAUUGGAGAUCAUAAGAUGCAGUCCCCAUCCUCAGCAUCUCCCAGUGAUGGAGCUGGCCUCUGCUCUCCAUCGUGAUUCACUCAGGAAUCCUCAGCCCCACUUUCCUGACUCUGAGACAGAUUGAUAAGGAUGUCAGCUCAGAGAAGAAUUCUUCAAAGAGAUUUCAAUAAUGGAAUUCAUAGAUUUCAUUUGUUUGUGGUGAUCUUAAUGAAUCUGUACAGCAUGUGCUAUGGAACUGGGUAGCAAAACAUCAUGAGAGUUCUUGCUACACUGUACUGGAAAAUAUUUCACUGAAUGCCCAGUGCAGCAAUAGUGAACAAGAAAUGCCCACUUCUGGCUGAAAAAAGAUUGGAAAGAAAGAGACUCAAACUUCCCUCCUGGGCUGAAGGAGCUGAUAGCUCCUUCCUCAGAUACCCCUAAGAUCUCUGGAGAAGGCAAAAGUGUGGCCUAGAAUAUGAAAUUUCUGAGUCUUCUCCUGUGCCUGGUGGCAGGUCCGCAUGGUGAGUAUCCUCAAUGUCAGACAUGGGUCCAUGGGAAGAUUAGGAAAGCAGGUAACUGAUAGGAAUGUUACUCAUGUUUCCAGGUGUCCUGUCCCAGGUGCAGCCACAGGAGUCAGGACCUGGCCCGGUGAAGCCCUUGCAGACCCUGUCUCUCACCUGCACGAUCUCUGGAUUCUCCAUCACAACCAGUGGUUAUGACUGGAGCUGGGUCCAUCAGCCUCCAGGAAAGACUCUGGAAUGAAUGGCGGCCAUAGGCAACUCCUCUUCCUGGUUACACACACAGAGAAUUCCAAUUGGUUCCUCACACAUCAUCAAUAUCUGCCCCAUGGGCCACUUCAAUAAGACGUCAUGUAACUCUCUGGCUCUCUGGAUCUGGUUGAAGGAAGCAGCCAAGCCGCCAUGGGUCACGUGCUCCUUUCCACAUCCUCAACUCAAUAAACCUGUUCAUUUUGUACUUUGGCUUCUCUAUUCUGCCAGAAUAUUCUAACAGUCAGAUUUUCGAUGAAUUCUGAAAAUAUAAAAAUUGGAGUAGAA
rnacentral:lncRNA from 1 species